AGUAAUGUAUGGGGAUCUGCCCGGUAGGAGGGGGAUAACUACUGGAAACGGUGGCUAAUACCGCAUAAUGUCUACGGACCAAAGCAGGGGCUCUUCGGACCUUGCACUAUCGGAUGAACCCAUAUGGGAUUAGCUAGUAGGUGGGGUAAAGGCUCACCUAGGCGACGAUCUCUAGCUGGUCUGAGAGGAUGAUCAGCCACAUGGGACUGAGACACGGCCCAG
rnacentral:rRNA from 1 species